AGCAAAUCCGGGCCUUGCCCCGGGGCCGAAAGCCGCGGGGGGACGAUCUCCGGGGCCGAAAGCCGCGGGGGGAGGAGGGUGUGGGGAGGGGGUGUGGGCACGGCAGGCAGGCAAAACGCUGAUGUGCCACCGGACCCGCUGCCAAAGCAUAAAAACACUUAAGGACAAGAUUGAAGGCUUUCCGAGAGAUCUGGACAGAAGUCAAAGCUAUCAUUCGGAGGCUGGAAAUGCCCUGCUGACAGCGGGAGGGUCCCGGGGUCCCGGUGGUCCCGCUCGCCCCUCCGCGCUCCCGCCGCCGCCGCGCAUCCCCCGCGCCCGGGAAGCGCUGCCCGCACCUCCGGCCCUAUCGAUGCUCCGCGUUCUUCAUUUCCUAAACUCUGCCUGGCAUUAGACUUAGGAAAAAAACAAAAUAAAAUAUUGGUUUG
rnacentral:lncRNA from 12 species